AAGGGUAUUCCUGCACAACUGGAGGCUGCAGUUUCAGGACCGCAGUUCUAGGACCCUAGUUUUUUUGUGACAGCGCCACCUACCGUACUGGAUCAACACUAAUUAAAGAUGGACGACGUGGACAGCAAUCAGAUGUGAAGUGGAAGAAUUUAAUAGAAAGAUUGACUAACAAUUGAAGAAAGAAGGGAGAUCAUUCAAUUGAGUUGAAGCCUACAGCCAUUCUAUCCAUGCAGCAACUGAUCGAAAAAGGGUUCGCAUUGGUGCUGUUGUGAUGUUG